CCAGAUGAAAGGUGAUGAGGACCUGAGGCAGAUCAGAGGCUAUGUGGCUAGAGAGUAGGAAAUAGAUGCAAGGGAUGUUGUGAAGGUAUAAUAGACAAGACUUGGAAAUGGACUGAUUAUGGGAAGAAGGAGAGGUGAUGGAGUCCUUGGACGUCAUGUUUCCCAAGAUGGCUCUUCUCCACUGAACAUCUCUUUUCAAUCGCCCUCCUCAUUUUCAUCCUGUGAUCCUAUCUGCAUUCAUUUCAGAGCUCAUAAGAUGCUGUAUCAAAUGUUUUGCUAAAAUCCAAAUGCAUCCCAUCCAUUACCUCAAAUUCACCACUAAUCUCAUAAUUCAAUAAAACAAGCAAUCGGAUCUGCUUGGUGUGAUUGGAGCUCACUCAAGAAGUCCCGGCUGCUUAUAUUAUCACUCAAUGAUGCUUCAAGGGUACCACCUUAGUCUGCAGCUGGUCUCCAAUGCCUGGGAUGCACUUCUUUCUCACCUCCACUUUUGGAAUCCCUAAUUUUCUUCAAAGCUUAGUUCAGGCAACACCUACCUUUUACAUGAAUACUUCAAUGAUGUCUCAAGCUGUCAGUGGUCACUAGCCUGCAGUUCCUCCAAAUUGUUUUGUAUUUACUUGAGAUAUGCAAACAUACAAAAAUAAAACCUCUCUGGGCUACAGACCAACCCACUCACAGGUUAGCCAGUGUGAGUACCCAAUGGAGGAGGAGGGCAACUAUUCCAGGGCUCAAUGCAAUCUAUGGGUCUGCCUGCUUUAAAAAUAUAUGUAAUUCAUGAGCCCCCA